UACGGGUGGUUGGCUCUUUGCUUGCGCAACAACUUCCACUUGGCAUACCUCUUCAGUCUUGUGUCAAUGUUUGUAUUGCAUUGAAUGCAUGAUGGGUUUGCUGUGUUGCAUGCCUAAUUGAUGGUAUCAUUUGAUGAAUUGAAGUCUUUUUUCGUCUUGUGUUGCACAUGCAAUGUGAGAUGAACCUUGAAGCAAGCUUUGUGAUCCACUCUUUUGAUGCACAUGCAUUGAUCUGGUGGCCCAUUGAUUGUUGCUUGGUCUCAUGGAUAUGGAACCUGGUGUGGGCAUGGAAUUUAUGAGUUCCUUGUUUGCCCUAGUUUAGCUUUUCUAAUACGAGGGCCUAUCAUGUUUUUGCUUGGUAGGCUACAUCGAAUAUGAAUGCUACCUG
rnacentral:misc_RNA from 1 species